UACGUAGGGGGCAAGCGUUGUCCGGAAUCAUUGGGCGUAAAGAGCGUGUAGGCGGCCAGAAAAGUCUGCUGUGAAAACUCGAGGCUCAACUUCGAGCUGUCGGUGGAAACUUUCUGGCUAGAGUCCGGAAGAGGAGAAUGGAAUUCCUGGUGUAGCGGUGAAAUGCGCAGAUAUCAGGAAGAACACCCGUGGCGAAGGCGGUUCUCUGGGACGGUACUGACGCUGAGACGCGAAAGCGUGGGGAGCGAACAGG
rnacentral:rRNA from 1 species